rnacentral:rRNA from 1 species
UGGGGAAUCUUGCGCAAUGCACGAAAGUGUGACGCAGCAACGCCGCGUGGGGGAAGAAGGUCUUCGGAUUGUAAACCCCUUUCAGUUGGGACGAGGGUUACACGGUGAAUAGCCGGCGUAACUGACGGUACCUUCAGAAGAAGCCCCGGCUAACUACGUGCCAGCAGCCGCGGUAAUACGUAGGGGGCAAGCGUUAUCCGGAAUCAUUGGGCGUAAAGCGCGUGUAGGCGGUUAGGUAAGUCCGCUCUGAAAGCCCAGGGCUCAACCCUGGGAGGCGGGUGGAAACUACUUGACUAGAGUCCGGAAGAGGAGAUUGGAAUUCCUGGUGUAGCGGUGAAAUGCGCAGAUAUCAGGAGGAACACCAACAGCGAAGGCAGAUCUCUGGGACGUGACUGACGCUGAGACGCGAAAGCGUGGGGGAGCAAACAGGAUUAGAUACCCUGGUGUCCACGCCGUAAACGUGAAUACUAGGUGUAGGGGGUAUCGACUCCCUCUGUGCCGAAGCUAACGCAUUAAGUAUUCCGCCUGGGGAGUACGGCCGCAAGGCUAAAACUCAAAGGAAUUGACGGGGUCAUAGCUGUUUCCUG